CCUACGGGGGGCAGCAGUGGGGAAUAUUGCACAAUGGGGGAAACCCUGAUGCAGCGACGCCGCGUGAGUGAGGAAGUAUUUUGGUAUGUAAAGCUCUAUCAGCAGGGAAGAAAAUGACGGUACCUGACUAAGAAGCCCCGGCUAACUACGUGCCAGCAGCCGCGGUAAUACGUAGGGGGCAAGCGUUAUCCGGAUUUACUGGGUGUAAAGGGAGCGUAGACGGAAUUGCAAGUCUGAUGUGAAAAUCCGGGGCCCAACCGCGGGACUGCAUUGGAAACUGCGCAGCUGGAGUGCCGGAGGGGUAA
rnacentral:rRNA from 1 species